rnacentral:lncRNA from 1 species
CAGGCUCCGAGCCCCGCCGGUCCCCUUGGAGCGGGCGGUGCUGCGGGGCGGGGCGGGCCGGGGCUGCCGGGGAUGCUCCGGUGCGGGGCGGGUCGGGUCCUCGCCGGGCUCCUCCCGCUGCCCUGGCUCCUCGGCCACGUCUGAAAGCGGCUCAUUGUGUCCGCAGCCAGCUCGGGUCCGCCGAGGGAAGCUCUUGUA